AAGGGGCGGGGAGGACAGUUUAAGCUCGGACGGGCAGAGUUGCGGGUGGCAGAGUGCGGGCUCGGUGGGAGGUUCGCUGGCGGGGAGCGAGGACCGCAGCUGCCUGGGAACAAGGAGGCGCUGGGGCUCCGGGGUCAGCCCAGCACCUCCUCCUGCAGAGGAGAUCGGCGAAGCUGGGGGACGCACCGGCUGCCAAGGCGACCCUGCGCGCAGGGAAGAGAAGGAUGGCUAAAGGAGACUUGAUUUUCUUGGAUUUGCUGCAAUUCCUUAAACCAAACCAGUCUUUCGAGGCGUUAAAGUAAAUUACGGGUGGCAGUGCAGAAGCCAAAAUGGGAGCUCCUAGAAGUGGUUUCUGAAAAAUAAGACCGCAUAUACACGAGUAAGCAAGCACAGGAAUCUGAAAAAAACCACAGGUAUGUAAAACAAUUAAGCCACCUAUCUGGUUUUAUAAUUAUUGCAUUCCACUAUCGACAUUUAUACAGACUUUUAUGAAGUGAAGCACUUUGAGGUGGUCUCAGAGGAGAAAACAUGUUUAUUCUAUUCCAGACAAUGUAUUUAAAUAAAAAGGCUUGAUCUCAUCGUUGCAUUCUUUUUUACCAUUCUAAAAGAGAAGCACUGUUUAUGACCAUGUGCCUUUGCAUGUAACCAGUUGUUGCUUGAUACUUGUUUUUAAGAACAUUUUUCCUGAGAUCAACCAAUGAACUUGUAUGCAUAUAUGCAGAACCCAUGGACACAGACAAUGGGGUGGUGAAGGCCUGGGGUGGGGGAACAGGAGCAGGCUAGAAGGUAUUAAUGGGGGGGAAAGAGGAUCUAUGUAAUACUUUCAAUAAUAAAUAUUUUUAAAGACAAAUAUAAUUUUAAAAAAGAAUACUUUUCCUGACGCUGUAUAAAACUGCAAUUGUUAUGAAUAAUUUCAUUUGGGUAACAGUUUAACAGAGUCAUCCUGUUGAGCCAAUGUGACAAGUGUUUGCUUUUUACAAAAUCUGCAUCUCAUUGUUGACUUGAUAUCUCACUUAGCAGAAUACUGAAAUACCAAUGCAUUAGGUAUUCUUUUAAGCCAGGUUCUUUAAACCAGCUCUUCUCUCUUUAACCAUCUCAUCAUUUUUCUCCUCCUACCUUGCUGCUUUUCUAAGCCCAACAUGUAAGAUGUACCUUCAUAAUUCACCCACUUGACUGAACUAACGACAGGUUUAAUAUGAGAUCAAAGACAAUCAAGGUCAAAAAUUUUUUUUCAUUAUGUCACAGUUAAAAAGAAUUUGCCUUUGAUUAUCAUUAAAAUGCAAUAUUUUGCAUGUUAAGACCCUGUUUCUUUUUAUUAAAGUAUAGUUGACAUACAAUAUUAUAUAUAGUUUCAGGUGUACAACAUGCAUAGCCAAUAGUUAUAUUCCUUACAAUAUAAUUGCCAGAAUAAAUCUAGUAAACAUCUGUCACCAUACAAAAUUAUUAUGAUAAUAUUAAGGCCCCUUUUCAAUAAUUGAGUAGCACAGUGUUAUGAAUGGUAGAAGAAGCCAGAAGGGGGAAAGGUUCACCUUUGUGGAUUUUUGUUUUUCUUCCUUAAAAUGGUGGGUCACGGUGCUCUCACAAGGAGGCUAAAGUUAUUAUGUUGGCUAUAAAAGGAUCAGGCAUCAAAAUGGCUGUUAAAGAGAAUGAAGCUUUCUCUUUCCUGAGGGGGUGUAAGUGUUCAUCACAGUGCCAGAAUGCGAUGAUAUCUUGUGAUUUUUGACAUUCUGCCUUUACAGCUGAAGAGGGAUUUUUUUUUAGCCCCUGCCAAUGAGGGUGUAAAACAAAAUCAGAUGCCAUUCUUGAAGCUUAAAAAUAUCAAAUUAGACAUUUAACCCAUAGAAAGCAAAUUGAGAGCUCUGAAAGUAUAGACUCAACUAAAGACAAAGUUUCUUACUGUAAAAAGCCCAUGGCCUGGCUGGCAUGGCUCAAUGGUUGAGUAUCAACCUAUGAACCAGGAGGUCACAUUUUGAUUCCCAGUCAGGACACAUGCCCAGGUUGCGGGCUUGAUCCCCAGUAGGAGAUGUGCAGGAGGCAGUCAACCAAUGAUUCUCUCUCAUCAUUGAUGUUUCUAUCUCUCCCUCUCCCUUCCUCUCUGAAAUCAAUAAAAAUAUAUUUUAAAAAAAGAUGGACCUCAGCUAUCAAGCCCAGACCACUUUUUUUGUUGUUUGUUUGUUUGUUUUUUAAAAAUAUAUAUAUAUUUCUUUACUGGUUUCAGAGAGAAAGGGAGAAGGAGAGAGAGAUAGAAACAUCAAUGAUGAGAGAGAAUCAUUGGUUGGCUGCCUCCUGCACAUCCCCCACUGGGGAUCGAGCCCGCAACCCAGGCAUGUGCCCUUGGGCCAGAAUCGAACCUGGGACCCUUCAGUCCGCAGGCCGACACUCUAUCCACUGAGCCAAGCCGGCUAGGGCCCAGACCACUUUCUUAAAAAACAAAACAAAACAAAAAAAAUAAAAAACCAUGGAUAUGAAGUGGCUUCAGGAAAGCUAACGAACAUUUAGGAACAUGUAAAUUUGCACUGCAUGGACCUUAGGUACAUUACCUGACUCAGGAAACUGGGAAGUAACUAAUCAUCCCCCAAUGUAUCUAAGAGGACUAAGCUCUAAUCUUCUAAGUCAGAAAGGAAAAGAGCACAGUUGAGCUUUUAUUCCUUUUUUAAAAGAUACUUUUUCUUUAUUGAUUUCAGAGAGAGGAAGGGGAAGGGGAGAGAGAUAGAAACAUCAAUGAUGAGAGAGAAUAAUAACUGAUCAGCUGCCUCCUGCAUGCCCCCUCCUGGGCAUUGAGCUCGCAACCCGGGCAUGUGCCCUGACCAGAAAUCAAAGGGGAACAGACUGACAUACCUCGAUGUGAGGGUGGGGAGACAAGGAGAGAUAAACUAAAGAACUUACAUAGCUAUAUGCAUAGCCCAUGGACACAGGCAAUAGGUUGGUGAAGACUUUAGGGGGAGGUAGGGCCUGGGCAAAGGGGAGUACAGGGGGUAGGUGGGAGAUAAUCUGCAAUAGUGUCAACAAUAAAAAAUAUAUAUAUUAAUAAGAAACAAACAAAAAAAAGUGGUGACUUCCUGUAUCAUGGGUCGACAUUCAACCACUUAGCCACACCAGCCAGGCUUAUUCCUGUUUUGAAUUAUAGCAUUCUCAUUAUAGAGACAUUAAGUGCUUUAGAGAUAUUUUAUUUUUAAGGUAACAUACCUUAAAAAUAAAGUGUAAAAUGCAUUAAUCCAGCGGUUCUCAACCUGUGGGUCACGACCCCUUUGGCGAACGACCCUUUCAUAGGGGUCGCCUAAGACCAUCCUGCAGAUCAGAUAUUUACAUGAUGAUUCAUAACAGUAACAACAUUACAGUUAUGAAGUAGCAAUGGAAAUAAUUUUAUGGUUGGGUCACAACAUGAGGAACUGUAUUUAAAGGGCCAGAAGGUUGAGAACCACUGCAAUCGAAAGUGUAUUUUUUAUAUGUGUGUU